UGUUGUAAUUAUUUUUUAUAUAGUUUUACCCUUGGUUAUUUCUUAUGUCGAUGUAGGCUGUAGGGCAUAAUCCCAGUGCAGACGAAGGGGAUUAGAACCCAGUAGGUGGCGCCAGCGCAGAGUAAUAAACCAACGCGAAUAUAUUGAGCUCCCUCGAGACCCGUAGUGUGCCGGCAUUUUUGAGAAGCGUGCUCAGGACGCCAAGUUAGUCUGGAGCUGCUGAGCUGGAUGCAGUGCUGGGAGUUUGUUCUGCUUAUACUGCCAGUAAUAUUGGAGAGAGGAGUGGAGUUACAGUUAUUUAAGGAGACUGAGGCCAGUGGAAGAGCGUGUAGAGGCAUUUGCAGACAUAAUUACUGAGCAAACUACAAG